UGCAAGGCCCACAGGGACGCGGCUGCAGGAAACCGAGCGGGACAGCGCCGCCUCCCACACGGCCCGCGGGGGCGCCCGACACGGCCCGCCGAGCAAGGCGCCGCCGCAGCCCAGAUCCCUCAGGUGCCUCAGAGACUGCCAAGGCGGGCAAGAGGAGUGACAGUGGCUUCAGGUCACCCGCCUCUCCUUCAAGCAAGGCAUCCUGGUGUACUGGCCUGGGAAUCGGUGAUCUAAGGAGUGAACUAGGGGAAGGGAUCUACCAUUUCAAAGAACAAUAGUUCACAAGUUUGAAAUGUUCAGAUGGAGUCCAGCACUCAAUUUAUCAAGAACUUGAGGCCAAGAGAGUUUAAAUGACAUUUCUCAGUUCCCGUACGGAGUUUGUGACAGAGCUGGGACAUGGGCCCAUUCACGUGACCCCCACCCAUGCUCUUCUGACUGUGCUCCCUCCCUCAGAGGCAGGGCUCAGAUAAAUCAUACUUAUGACCUGAGAGCUUCUGUUGUUCUUUAUGAUUCACUGAUCAACCGUGAACGAAGAAACAAAUGCUGGAAUUUUGGUGACAGCAUAUUGGUGAUUCUCUCCAGGAGACUGCGGUCUCGCAAAGAAUCAGAGACCAAGGGAGGGCAGCUUCCUCAGAGAUUCUGUAGCCCAGCUCAUCCAUCUUUACAGAUGACAAAAUUCAGCUCAGAAAGGUGAAGUGAAUUUUGCAAAGUCAUCUAGCUACUUGGUGGUAAGAGGGAUUUUGAACCCAUUUGUUCUUUUGACUUGGAGUGCCCAUUGCAUCACGUCCUGCAUCAACUCAUGCAUUUCUAAAAAGUCUUCCUGUAUUAUUAGGCAGGCAAAUCCAGCUUGUUGCUUGGUUUUGCAAAUAAAGUUUUAUUGAAACACAGUCCCUUCACAAAAGAUGUCUGCCGAUCCCUGUUGUGUAUCAAGCCUGGUUGAAACCCCUUUGUUGUUGUUGUUUGUUUUUGUGUUAUGCUUUCUGUAAAAAAUCUUGAUGGAUUAAUAGGUCUUUCAGCAACAGGUAGAACGGAAGUUCUGCGUGCAUGUCCCACAACUGAUGACAUCGAUACCACAUAGAUGUGUUCUUAUUUAUUUGGCAUUCCAUCCUCUCCAAAGCUCGCCACAGUUCUCUAGAACAGUGGUACCCCUAUCUGCCUGAUCAUCUGCUCCAUUCCAUGAAAUCCCUGAGAAUUCAGACUCCCAGGACCCUCCCCAAAUCUCCAGUCAGUGUAUCUGAGUUUAGGUUUGGAAAUCUGUAAUUUUAUUAUUAUUUUUGUAACCUCUGGAGGCAAUUUUGAUGAUCAGCCAGCUUUGGGAACCUUUGUGCUGGGUAAUGACUGGAUGGACGUCUGUAUCUUUGUUAGAGUCCUUUCCUUUCCUUCUGUUUGUCUCUAAGCCCAUCCUCUUCCUGAGCCCCAUGCUAUGGGUCAUAAGUACAUUGUGCCGCAUCUUUGCUGAAUGAGGCUGGGGGCAGGGGCGCCUUACACACCACACUGGUAUUUCCUCAGUAUCCAGUAAAGUAGUGCAGACACUUUCUGCCUUCAUUGUAGUUAUUUGACUGGUUACACUUUUAUUUCUGUCAUUGCCUUGUUCACUUUCCAUUUGCAUUUGCAUAAAAUUCCUCAAAUGACAAAUCCAACCCUGAUUUCUUCUGCUUUCUGAUUGUAAAAGUGAGGUGCAUAGACAGCCAGAACUUAGAUGAUAAAAGCCUCGUAUCCCCUGUACCCUGUUUUCCAUCUUUCUUUCCUGCUUUUAAAAAUGUCACUGAAACCAUUAGGGAUUAAAACAAAAAAAGAUUUAGAACCCUGAAAGUUUGUUGGUCUCAGCCAUCCAUUAAUUUAAAUUUUUCCUCCCUGCUGUUUGAGGGUUAUGUUAGCCUAAUAAAACAGGCUUUUAAAUAUAUGUAUAUAUAUAUAUAUAUAUGGCCACACUCAGUUCACAUUCAUUUUUUUAACCGGUUCCUCUCUCUUUCAUUGCAUAAAUUAACUAAAAUAAUUGACCUCAAUGGUCUUUUCGCUAUGAAUGACUUUGUGUGAGGAAGCUAGUUCUCACUUUCAUGGAAUGAGAUAGGUUUAUUUCUUUCUCUUAAGUGAAUUAAGACAAAAAUAUAUGAUGUGCAAAGACUUCAAUAUGUCCCAUGUUAUAAUUAGGAUUGAUGAGGUCCUAAGAAAGCAGCAGACAUUGAAUCAAAAGAUAAUGUUUAACCUGCCAAGUAGAACAAUAAACAAGAUCUAUUACCGCAAAGGUGUUUAGAAUUAGUGUAUCUCACUCAGAGAGACACGACCAACGACAAAUGCGAAACCAAUGAGGACAUCAGAAUGACACUUGAAAGACCUUAACAAAAUAUGGCAUCACGCUGGGAUUCGCGAGAUGAGAAAUACUGACUUUGACCGUGAUGCAAUAUCUUCUAUAAGCCAUUACAAUUAGAGGCGAAAAUGGAAGGGCUAUUCAAUUACUUUGGGCAGUAUCUUUCCACCUGCAUGAGAUUAACAGGGCACAUUUCACAAUAGAUGUCUCAAGAAAUUUAACUAACCGUUCAUUGAAAUCUAAAGUGGAUAGGCUGUAAUUAAAUAAGCAUUUUAUAUCCCAGUUAGGCUGGCCCUAAUGAGCAAGUCUAAAUCUUGUUUUCAGGAUCAAAUUGCAUUUUGUGACAGCACCUCCUUGCCAGUCUGUCCUUCCAAUAGGGACAGGCAUUUCAGAAUAAGGGCAAACACCUAACAGAUAAAGACAGCAGGGCACUCUCCAGGCUUGUGCACUGUUCAAAAUCACAGUGCAUUGGAAACAACAGGGAUUAUGCUAACUUCAGGAAGGUAAUUUUGGUUUCAAGGAAAUUAGGACCGAUUUAGUAAUCUUGGUAAACCAGGCGUUCAUAAUAGGCCAGGGCAGAGGACUUGGCCAUGAUACCCUAAAGGUACCCACCUGCCCUGUGCCUUUGGCACUUCCUAAGCCUAGUGUGUAUUGUUAUUUAUUGUCUAAAAUCUGUCCGUCUUCCUGACUAGAUUGAAGGCAUCUCAAAGGUAGGGACCAAGGUGAACUGUUUGGGCAUCAUCAGUACCUUCCAUGUGGGCUGUUUGAAUGUUUGUUCUAGUUGGUGGUGAUGCUCUUAGGUAGAAUAAGUAAGUUAGUUAAUUAACAGAACUUAGAAGCACAAAAGCAUCCGAUUCCUUCUAAAAAUUUGGCAGUUCAUUCUUUGCCUCUGUUAAUAUGGAACGGAUUUCUCCGUAGGAGGAAUAAAUGUAAAAUGAAUACAAAAAUUCACAUAUUGUAUCCAUUUGUUAAUAUAUACAUUUGUUUAUGUAGAAAACACAACAAAGUACAAAAUAAUUGGAUGAUUUGAUUGAAAUAAAUCAAAACUGCAAAUGCAUCUUCACCUUCUCAAAUCCUUUUUUGGUUGGAAGUCAUGCCGAUUACAUCAGCAAUUGCCUGCGCGGGGGCUGCGGAACUGGUCCUACAUGUUUCUUGUAGAUAUUGCAAGUUAUUCCAAGGUUUAAUAAUUUGGGGGACAUUCUGAGUGA